rnacentral:lncRNA from 1 species
CUUCACAGCCGCCAUUGUUAUGUGUUUACAAUGUUGUUUUUGUCAAUCAGAUACGAUUUUACUCGAAUUUAUACAAUAUCUGUCGGCGAUUUUCUGUAUAAAGCUAGCGGUUGAACAAAAUGAACAUCGCUGUCAUGAAUAAUAAUGAUAAAAAUAAGUUUUUAGCUCGUUUAAUUGGAGACUUUGGUGACUUGCAUGGAAGGUUUGCAAAGUAAUUUCUUAUUUUCUUUCAAGUAGAAGGUGACUACGUCGGGCGUAGCUAGAAACCAACUAUCCUAGUCAAAAUUCCGCUUGCAAAAGUGGAAGUCGCGGACCUCGGACCACCGCUAAUUUGCACACCUGCCUCCAAAUUGAAAAGCUACGAAAAUUUCUUUUUCUAAUUUGAAAUUGCCGCCAACAGCGUGAACAGUUGAACUUAUUAUAUAAUAAGACUACUGACG